GAAUAUUAGUCAAUGCUCGAAAGAGUGAACUAGCUAACUGAAAUCAAUAAUAAUAAUUGAUAACAUAAGGGAAAAAAAUGAUAUUACCUUAUUAUUAGUGUCGUCCAAAGCUGGUGCCAGAAGACUCGGUAAGGCCAGAGACACAAACGUUAAUCGUCUUAAUCAGGCGUAAAGGGUUUGUAGGCGGCUUUAAAAUUUACUAAUACAAAUAAAUAAUAAGUAAAGAAUAAAAGCUAGAAUCAAAUAGAGGAUAUAUGAAAGAAUGCUUAGAGUAGGUCUGAUAUCCUUAGAUACUAAGUAGAAUAUUAAAGGCGAAAGCUUUUUUCCAUUAAUGAUUGACGCUCAGAAACGAAGGUGAGGAUAGGAAAUAGGAUUAGAUACCCAGAAUACCCCUCUCUGUCAACGAUGAAUGGUAGUUAUUAGUAAAAAUUUAUUAAUGGCAAUGUUAACACGAUAACCAUUCCGCCUUGUGAGUACAACUGCAAAGUUGAAAACAAAAAAAUUAGUCGGUUUCGGAGCAAACGAAGUGAAGCAUGUUAUUUAAUUC
rnacentral:rRNA from 1 species